AAUUAAAAAGCAUAGGUCAGAUUUGUUCAGAGAAGAGGCAGUCAAGUCACAAAUAUGGAAGGCUCUUAUAGCCUAUUCUGUUGAAUCCAGACUUGGAUUACAAUGAAGUGCAAUACCGCAGUGUAAAACAGAAAUUAAAAAGAGAGCAUGAAACUUUAUUUCAGACUAAUGUGAAAGCAAGCUGUUCUGUGGUAACAGUAUUAUUUAAUAAAGAGUAUGGCUAAGUGAACUUAAGUUUUUUUAAAGUACAGCUUAUAAAAUAAGGAAGUAAUAUUAUUCUAACUGUUUAACAUUAUUCUAAUCAGUCAAGAAAGUGAACAUGGUAU